rnacentral:lncRNA from 12 species
UCUUUCGCGGUCUUUGCACAGUUACAUCCCAUUUGAGUACAGGAGCUGUCAAGGGGAAGGCGGUACUGAAACAAGCGCAAUCUUGAUUUAAGCAACAAACCUGUACUUGAACAUGUAACUCAUAUUCUACCUUAUAUUCUGGAGCACCUGUUUCAAUUCAUCAAAAACUCAUGAGAGGAAGUUACUGGAGGAACCAAUAAUAAGAAUUAUCCGAGGUAUUGGUGGACUUGCCAAUGUGGUCACUUAAGUGACCUUUCAGGAAUUGCAGCGUAAGAUUCUGAGCACAGGCACACAUACACAGAAGAAUGGCUGCAUUGGAAUUGCACUGUGGGCGGGAGCCUGGGAGUUGUGUGUGGGUUGGAGACAGAGCUGACCUGCUUGACAGUUUUGACUCCGAGAUGCAGGAAUGGGAAGAUCAGCUACAGGACAUGCAGAGGAAGAUUGAAGAGUUGUAUAAUGAGGUCAAAGCACGAAGAGAAGCCAGUGAGAGCAGCACAAACAAUAAAAACCUGGACAUUACUUUGCUUCCUGUCAACUCUCAAUAUAGCCACCAGGCCAAUGGUUAUCACGAACCUCAUGGUCACCCCAACAACAGCCUCCCAUUUCAUCAAUGCAGUGAAAUAAAAGCAGAUCCUUCAGUUAUGCAAAGCCUUGGGUUUCACCACCCCAGUGAAUACUGUAAUUUCUCCAACAAUUACAUGCUUAAUUCCCUGAGCAACGGCAGCCAUUACCCUGCCAGUUGUCAUGAUCUUGAAAGGCAAGAUGCCACUGUAGACAUACUCAAUGGAUACCUCCAACAGGGCCCGCAUUUUAGGAGGAACCCAGGGAAUCUUGGAGCUCCAAACAGAAACCCCAAGGUAUAUCCAGUUACACACAGUUAUCAAGACAGCAUGAAGACCAGCCUGGUGACAAACAGGACUGCCUUAUGUGUGGUUCUGGAUGAGACUGAUGAGGCUGAGAACAAAAAGAACAAGAAAUCAAGUUGGGGUGACUCCCAAGGCCGCCACGUUAGCUGGAAAGACCCGGUUUCAUCAAAUGACCUUCCCCCUAAAAAUUCAGCUACCAAACUGGCAAUCAGGCAGAGAGAUUCUUCUCCUGUAACCCCUUUUUCCACUUACUAUGAGUCAUCACAGCAACCUGACAGGAAGUGCCUCUUGCUCAGGAAAUCUGGCAGCCCAUCAGUGUUGCGUAAGUUUGGUGCCAUGUUGCAGGAGAAUGAGGGAAAAACCCUGAUAGAGGAUGGUCUUGUGACCAUCGUUGCCUCCUCUGAACCUCCGAGGCAAACCAGCACUCCCAUUUGCCAGAGCAAGUUUGACGCCAGGCGGGCAUCUUCACGUGCACACGUCCAGAAAUGCCUUGCAGACUGUGAUGUACUGGUAGCAGAUCUGGAGCACAGACAAGAGUCUUGGGCAGCUGGUCCUUCUAGACACCUCCUCAAUGGAGACAGAGACAGUGGGAGGGGUGGUUGUGUUCUUGAACAGCAUGGCUUGGCCUAUAACUUAAGCCAGUCACAGACUCACCUUAAUUCGGGGUAUCACAAGUUGGCUUCAAUGUCUAAAGGCCACAAAGCGGGCUUCCAGAGUAAGGACCUAUUCUCUGACUGCCAGAUGGUAGAAACAAUUCUGGGAGUAGGAUCUCAAAACUUCAAUAAGGUACACAGAGGACUUGGUGUUGAUAUGAUGAGACUGGGAAAUGACAACUUGGAGCAACUUCUGGAAAUGAUGGAAGUGGAGAACAACAGAAGUCAGAGGGCCACAUUCACCCAGCAACUGGACAACAAGCAGGUGAAGAGGGUACAGAUAUGAUCAGAACACACACUAAAUUUCAAUGCUGUAUUUAUAUUUUGUCUGAGUCAUGGUGCACAUGCUCUUGUCCAGUGUUCCUCAUUCCUGAUUCUGGAAAGCCACUUUCAUGAAGAGUGUAUUUCCAAGUGUGCUCUAACACAUUUGGUUUUCAGGUAAACCCAAAGACCUUGAUUAGUUAAUUCAAGCACAUUGAAUUAAAAGUGGAUAUAAAUUCUACAGGAAAGUGGUUCUCCAGGACCAAGAACAUCCUGGUCUCAUAAAAAUAUGUACCUCUUGGUACUUUUCUGCAAUACCGUUUUUAUGUACCCUACAGCACAUUUCGCCGCAGUUUCAAAGUGAAAUGUCCACUAAGUGGCACUAAAAUAUGGAUUCAAUAUGUGAACCUUGGUACGUUUUUAUUACGUUGAUAUAGAUACUUAUUGCUGUGUUUUUAUUACGUUGCUUCAGGUACGUAUUGCGGCGGUUCAGAAUUCAAAUAUCCAGGGACUGUUGCUAAAAGUUCAUGCUCUAUCAUGUUGGAAAUAUGCCCUACACCAAACCCAACCCUAAACCUACCCGAUAGUGUUAACAAAUGCAAAACUGAUAUAACAAUGCAUUUGUUGAUGCAACCAUGCCAUUUGAACUUCCUUAUAUGCAGAUCUGAACUGUUUGUCUAACUGUAGUUACACAGGAUUCGAACCAGAGCUACUCACCUCUCAACUCCGUGAGCUACCGAACAAAACUACCAUCUAUGAAAACCCAUAGAUAUGAAGCUGGAUAUGUGUGAUGCUAACAUUCAAAAGCAUAAGUUUUCAAAUCUCCCAGCAUAUUUAAAUUGUUUUAAAGUCAUAACAUAAUAUUCUUCAAGUAAUUGUGCGAAAAUUGCGCUUCAUUAAUCGAAAAUAAAAGGUGUCGGGAGUUUUACUGCCUCUAGUGUUAAUUUCUUUUGGAAACUGCAGUGACAUGUACAGUAAUUAUUGAUAUGUAUUUCACGUCUCGAAAAAAAGUGCCCCCAGGUACAUUUUUGCCAUAAGACCAGGUAGACAAAGAAUGAGGAAUGUUGCUUUUGAUGCUAAGGAGCUGUGGUGAUCCUGAUCCCAUUCUUCAAUCUUUCCAUUCCGCUACUUUGAUUUCAGUUUAUGCUUAUCUGUCAAAUAAAGUCAUAACAUCUUGAUACAUAAAAUACAAGUAGAAUUACCCAAGUAUUGAUCAUUUAUGCAGAAAGACACUUACAUUAAAACAUUUUCCUCUCCAGGUCAACCGUGAGUCAUCUCCUGCACCCAGCAGUAGACAUUUUUCUCGUCCUGCUCGACCAGCCAAUCAACGCUGUCCAUCCAGAUGGGUUAAGCAUACUCACCCAAGCAAAAUCGCAGACACAUCCAGCCCAACAAGCCCUGGCCUGAAUGCCAAACAAUGGUUGAAUUCAUAUUUCCGGCACACAGAAACUGUCAUCAUGUAAUCAGGAUACAACAAGCUUCAAAGGACACUUUCACCCAAUGGCAUAAACUAAACUUUGACCUUUUGUAGAACACAAUCUACUUUUUUGUAUAUAUAACCAACACCACCACAUCAGCGUAUCUUAUUGCAGCCUGCUAGAAUGGACUAUGGUAUUUUCCUUAAAUGACUUCAAAAGGAUAAUGCUUUCAUUUAACUCUGUGCUGUUUGAAGUGCUUUGGAAAGAAACUCCAGUGGACAUUCUCUGACCUGGUGAAUUUCUGUGCCUAUGAACCCUUCAUUGCCUUUUCUCUUCAUUUCUUUAUGUCAUUCUCAUAAAAUUUUCUAUUCUUUUAUUGUUUUUUAUUUUCCAGAGUGCUUUGUGUACAGUGCAGUUCUUGCGGUGCCAUCUUGGACAUUUUUUUUAAUCAUAUAAGCAUGUUUACAACAGGCAUAACGUAGUUAAACACAUGGCAACGAGUUAUUGAGCCUUAUCUAUUAUGCAUAAACUGUAAAGGCUUUUGCAGAUGUUUUGAUGUUCUGUCAUAAAUCCAUUUCAGUACUGCAUUAGUGCUUCAUAAUAUUGACAUGAUAACGGCUCAUAAUGUUUUUUAUAAGCCUUAUUUGACUGCACCUGAUGUGGCCUGUAACUACUCGGUGUAUGGUACAUUUUUUGCAGGAACAUGUCUGCAUUCUCCAGCCUUGUAUAUAAAAAAAAAAAAAAAAAAACCCAAAUGAGGUGAAUUCUUCUUUAAGUUCAACAUCUGUGAAAAGUAAAUUUUAUCUUUUGACAAUAAUAUCAUGAAGAAAUGCUUUUGGAAAGUUUAUUUAUUGUUGUGACAUGACCCUUACAAAAAUGUGAUGUUUUUUUUUUUUUUUUCUCUAGAUAAUAAAUGCAAGUGCUUUGAAAUGUUAGUGAAACUCUUGAACUCUAGACUCCGAAAGUUUUUUUUUUUUUUUUUUUUUUUUUUGUGGUGAUUGCUAAUGUUAGCACUAAUAUUCCUUUUCUACUCACUGUGCUAUUAUUUUUCUUUGCAAUCUGACAAGCUAAUUUUCACAUGACUGACUACAAAUCAGACAACAAACCUAUAGGCUUGUGGAACAACCUGAGUCAUCUAAGGACUAGAUAGUCAUAAAGACUUGAGAGUGGGCUCUUUUGACUUGGGGCAGUAAGCAAACAAAUGUGUAAACCAAUGUGUUAACAACCUUAUUAACCACAUAGCAAUAACUUAUAAUAUCCUAAAAAACAAAAGCAAAAGUAGAAGAUGUUUCAUGCCAACAUAGUAAAAAGGCCUCUCUUUAAUUAGCUCAUUGUUAAGCAGUAUUAACAUUGCUCUUGCCCUAUGUUACUAAAAGCUAUCAGGAAGCAUCCUUUUCCUCAUUCAGAGUCCUAAUGUAACCUGCUCUUACCAUGCCUUACUAUCUCUCUCAGUCCUGCUCUCGCAGUUACUCGACCCACUGCUGAAAUGUUGCACCUGUGCCUGAAAUAGGAAGUGUGACGUUGUUUUGGUGCCAGAAAUCUUAGACAUGUGGAGCGCUGAGUGGGGCAUGUGAUGUCCAGGGGGUAUCUCUCUGUCUUUAAAUUAGUAAUAAAGGCUUUCCUGCGACAUAACAGCUAAGUGGAAGCAAGGAACAACAUCUUAAUGAGGUCUUUAGAUAUAGAUGUUCACAACUUUCAUGUGAGUUCUUCAUAACACGCCAUAUGGAUUUAUUUUUAUUGAAGUCACCUGGGGUUUAAUGCCUAUAGUGAGAGCUCAUUGCUCACUUGAGGGGUUCGAACCAGCAUCAUUCUGGUUACUAGCCCUGAGCCUUAACCACUUAACCACCACCCUAGUGUCCUGUAAAACCUGAGGUUUGUGUGAGUGGUGAGUGUGGGAGCUAGGCAGAUACUUGCAGACCAAAGACCCAAGUCUUCAUGAUAUUCUGGGGCAAGCUGUGUACUGAAGUAAUACCAAUAGCGAUAGCAUCGCCUUAGCAUCAAUGACUUAAAGGGGUCCUAUUAUGCUCUUUGACAAAGUCUUGAUUUUGUUUUGGGGUGUACUAGAACAGGCUCUCAUACUAGGUUAUUAAAAAAACACAUUAUUUAUCACAUAUACAUUAUUACAACACCUCUCUCCCUAGUCUGGCAUGAACGGCUCGAAUAGUCCCUGUAUCAAAUGAAGGCCCACCUUCUGAAAUACGAAAUGUUCUGUGAUUGGUUUGCUGGCCCAGUCUGUGUUGUGAUUGGUUAGCUGGGCCAGUGUGUGUUGUUUUUGGCACCACUCGGCGCCUGGUCGAGAAAUGUCAUGCCCUUACCAUAGCCCAUUGCUGCGAGCUUCAGUGUAAAUAUUACGUCAAGAUCAAAUCAAUUUGAGCGUGAUUUAAACUCGGAUGAUUGUAACCACUCUUAAGUUCGUCUGUCUCGGGAAAGCUACAGUACCGUGUCUCCAACAUAGUGAUAUAACACUCGUUGCUUUCUCUAGUGCAGCUCAACCAGGUCUCGCCCCAUUUGUCGAUAUUUGUGAUAUCACAAAUCACGGAAAAUAUGUGUUGUAGUCCAAACGAGUCGUUCGUUGUAGUUUUUGAAAAGUGAUUUCUGUUAAAUAAAAUAGCUCCUUUUGAAUUGGAUUUUGAGCUUUGUAACUUUGCAGAUCUUCUUUUAUGCUCAAACAGCAACAUUACAGACUA